rnacentral:rRNA from 1 species
CCUACGGGUGGCAGCAGUCGAGAAUCAUUCACAAUGGGGGAAACCCUGAUGGGGCGACGCCGCGUGGGGGAAUGAAGGGCUGCGGAUUGUAAACCCCUGUCAUGUGGGAGAAAAGGAAAAAGAGAGUACCACAAGAGGAAGAGACGGCUAACGCUGUGCCAGCAGCCGCGGUAAUACAGAGGACUCAAGCGUUGUUCGGAAUCACUGGGCGUAAAGCGUGCGUAGGCUGUUUCGUAAGUCGUGUGUGAAAGGCGCGGGCUCAACCCGCGGACGGCACAUGAUACUGCGAGACUAGAGUAAUGGAGGGGGAACCGGAAUUCUCGGUGGAGCAGUGAAAUGCGUAGAUAUCGAGAGGAACACUCGUGGCGAAGGCGGGUUCCUGGCCAUUACCUGACGCUGAGGCACGAAUGCCAGGGGAGCGAAAUGGAUUAGAUACCCUAGUAGUC